UGGCCCUGGGACACCAGGCUCCUGGGCUAUAAGAACACAGCCAGGGUAGGGGAGGUCUUUGGAAAAUUCUUCUCUGAGGGGCAGAGAAAAUACUUCCUCCAGACAGUAAUGCUGGCUAUCCACGACUCCCUGCUCCGUGUCAGCCAGGCUGCAUUUCUCCUCACUUACUCCAUCAAGAGGGAAGCCCAGCAGCUGAUGGGGGACAAGCUGGAGGAUGUCACAGCCAAGGUGAUGUGUCAGCUGCGCAUUAUCCGUCACUUGCACCAAGUGCCUGAGGCACUGCAAGGGCUUCGCCUCAUCUGAUGCCCUUAAAGGUUCCCCUCCCAUGUUCAGCAACUCCCGCUCCCUGCUGUAGGUAUUGCUCUGUCUCACUGUAACUGGGGGGCUAGUGGAAGGGGAAAUGGAGGCCCCUGUCCCUGACAGAAACUCUCUCCCCUCUCUGUGGGCCAGGGUCCUUCCCUCUGACUCCAAACUUCCUUCAUCUGGGGCAUGAGCUCUUCCACUCACUCCCAUACCCCUCCCCUCUUUCCUUGCUCUUACCCCCAUCCCAUUCCCCAUGCUGCCAGGCAGAGAUCUCCCUGCCCCAUAUGGCGCAGAAGGACCUUUGUGUCAGGGCUACAGACUGUCUGCCCAACUGAAGCUCGGGAAGCUCUACAUUUGAGGAGGUGAGGAUGAGAGAGAGGCUCAGGGCCUGC